UAAAACUCGAUUUCAACAAAA
rnacentral:piRNA from 1 species